AUGGUGGCCAUGGUGGUGCCGUCGGUGUUCGCCGCCUUCGACAAGGACGGCGAUGGCAAGGUGUCCGCGUCCGACCUGCGGUGCGGCAUGGCGGCGACCCUGGGCGAGGACGUAUCGGAGGAGGAGGCGGCAGUGAUCCUGGCCGCGGUGGACGCCGACGGCGACGGGCUGCUGAGCCAAGAAGAGUUCUCGAGGCUAGCCGCCGGUGCCCACGAAGAGGACGACGUUGACGUGAGGCAAUGCUGUCUGAGGGAGGCGUUCGGGAUGUACGCAUCAUCAUCCACGGAAGCCACGACGACGAUGAUGAUUACGCCGGCGAGCCUGAGGCGGACGCUGAGCAGGCUGGGCUCUCACGAACUGGGCGUGGACGAGUGCACGGCAAUGAUCUGCAGAUUUGACCUCGACGGCGACGGUGCCCUCUCGUUCGAUGAGUUCCAAGUCAUGAUGAUGGCCUGA
rnacentral:rRNA from 1 species